AGUCCAUGUUGGCUAUUAUUGCAAGGCUUGAUUAAUCAGACAUCCAGAUCCUUGCCACUGCAACUACUGAAUAGGCUGGUGAUCCUAUUCUGGAGCCACAGGUUCUGAGGCAACGCAAGACCGUACUGGAUUUCCUCUGGUAUUUUCAACAGCGCCAUGAGAGUUGACAGGUUCUAGAGUAUAAAAUAUUCUGGUGGAACAUUUGUCAAAUACUACUGCAAUGGAUAUGUAAGUAGAUUAGAGUUCUGAAGUAUUACCAAUAUGGAGGUAAUUAUAGGUGUAACUCUGUUCAAGCUGGACAGGGAUAUAGAAAGGUUGGCCCUUUCCUUGUUGAAGGAACCAUCACGACCCUUUCAAAAUAAUUGGUCAUUCUGGAUCUCAUUCUUGCCAAAUUAUCAUCAAGUGUCACUGUGUGAUGAAUGUCAUUUUGUGAGACAAUUUGUAUUUGAUUAUUGUGCAUUAUUUUGUACUCUGGACUGUAAUUUGUGAUGUUAUGGUUUAUGUCGCAUGUAGGAUACACUAGAAAUAGUUUUGCAUAAAAAUUUGGUCCAUGGCAAGUCGAAUUGAAUCACUUGUGCUGAUCAUACACGUUACUGCAUGAUGUGACUUAUGAUAUUGCAGUUUUGUUAUUUUGCCUAUCUGUCCUUUGGUUUCUGUAUUGUGCUGUACAGGGGCUUGUAUAUACAGUGUGUGUCACCAUUCAUAGGUAAUGUAUGGCAGGUUUAGUUCCAGGUGUGGCACAAAUAAAUAUCUUUAUCGAGUGCUGUAAAGAUCACAGGAAGAGUCUUUUACAACACUCCACUUUGGAAUCAUACAGAUUAGAAAUUCUGUAAUAAACACUGUACGUAGCAUUUACACUACGUCAGAUUGUUGUAAAUUUUAUGUUACUGUAAAUAUGUCCAUUUACUAUCUUCCUGUAUAAGUUAGAGGUAAAAAAUGUGGGGCUUUGUGAUAAUGUGGACAUUAACCCAGAGAUUGUAUUUGAAUACCCUACUAGUUGAUGCACAUUCAUCAUUAUUGUCACUUUCAUCACUACUUCAGAACUAAAUUGAAAUACUGUUUGCAGAUUCUUCAGAAUCUGAAUCACUGAAAUUCAAAACACUUGCGUCAUUACCACUGUGAACUUGUCAUAUGAUUUAAAUGCCUUAGCAACUUCAUGUGACUACAUAUCAUCAUUUGAUGCAAUUGGGCUAACAGUGGCAUGUGACACAGUGGUACAGCUACAAAUUAUAAUGGAAAAUAGUGACACAGUAAUGUGAUAAGAAGGUGUACUGAAAAGUCUGACUGACUGUCCCACACAAGAAUAUGAUGAUAUGACAGUGAUACAGUAUGCACGAAGUCUAUCCAUACUGUUGAUUUGGCUAUCCAUUUUGGCAUGUUGCAGCCUCUCCCACUGCUUAAUAUUAACCUCUGGAAGUUUAACAGUGGCAGUUUUAAAGUAUCCCAUUUAUGCUGAGUCAGAUUUAAAUCCAGGAAGCAAUCUAGCUACUGUCAGAUAUGUAAUACCUUCAUAUUGUAGAUACUUGCUCUCUGUACCAGCCCCUUGUGGGGCAGGCAUCAUUUGCAUUAGAGGGAACUUGGGCCUAAUACACCCAACAGUAUGCACAAAUACCAUUACAGCAUUUCAUCAUCACAGCCUGUAUUGUCAUAGUACCUCUAGGACAAUCCUGCAGCAUCACAUGAAGAGCUUAUACGGCAUAGCAACAGAUAAGCACACUGGCACCACAUAUCGACCAUUUCCCCAUACUUCUGGGGUUGUAACUUGUCCCAGGGGUGUGCCAUGUACAUAGACUGUUUUGAAGGUCGCCUUUAAUGAACAGACUGUAACAUUCACUCCCCAUGCUAAACAGCAAUAUGUUUGUGUGCAGGACAGUACUCCACUAUUAUUUUAAUUUCAUUUGAUGGGCAGGGGAACAUAUUUGCCAUGUUAUACAAUGUCUUUGUGUGAAAUGAAGCAACCUAACAAAUCACUAGCUGUUCACAGCAAGCUCGCAUUGCCAGCAACACACACACGUAUCAGAAAUAUGUUACCCAGAACUAGCCACGUGCACAAAGAUCCUCUUGAAAUUGAUGAUACAUGGUCUCACAAGAGAUGUGAUCCAGAGGUUACAGUGGGUUAUCAUGUCAGAGUAGCUGCUUCGUUUGUUGCCCACCUUGAGGCACUUUAGGCAAAAUGAUGACCCUGGCACUGGAUUGUAUCAUGUGGAGCCCUUCAAUAUUUAUUCACUUCUGGAAUCUUGACAGCAGUGAAAUGCUCCUAUGGAUGCCAUUAAACUCCUAACUCAUUUUCCAAUGACGGAAGCUGACCUUUAAGUUGCCAGUGAUUAGAUCCUGUGCAGUUUUGUCAAGAUGUGUUCAUUUUACCAUUCUCCUUACCUAAUAACCUAAUAUGUAUACACACUGUACAACAUAAGAAAUGCAAUAUCCAAAAUCUCAGUCCAACCAGACGGUUGCAAAUACAUUAAGUUACUAUGUACACAUGUAUCAUGGUACUUUAUCACAGGCUUCACAGUAUUGUCAUGGUAAAAGUGCUGCCCCUACCCCAUCCCUUUCCCUGAUCCCUCAACUUGCAGAUAAGAAUUUGAUCAUAGUGUGUACCAUGUAAGAUAUAUAAAAAUAAAACAAUGGAAGGGAUGAAAUAACAAUAAUACAGAAAGGGUAAAUUGUUACCACAUGGAGGAGCCAUUUAGUUACAUGCAAACAGGCUCAACAAAAAAGAAUAUUGAAAAAUUUUUAAGCUUUUGGGCAGAGUCCUUCCUCAGAAGUAGGACUCUUACCCAACUGCAUCUGGUCCUUAGUGCCUGCGACUCUAUGCCUCCUGUAUUUGAUGAGCAGUAAUUUACCCUUUCCAUGUCAUUGACGUACAAAAAUAAAAUGCAUAAGAGUCAAUCAGCUCUUUUGCAGGUGAGAUUAAAUACAGUAAACUUUAUUGAUGAGAGUUUGUGUUUUCCACAGAUAUGUAGCAAACAUAAUGUACUGUGACGCACAUGGAUCUUGGGCACACAUCGUGCCUUUCUCAGACUGCUUACGAAUUAAUCAUGUGCAAAAAGAUAGGUGAGUUAACUUUCAUAGUUAAUCAUAAAAAAAUAUGUCUUAUUAUGUACAAUAAUCUAUUACA